GUGGGGAAUAUUGGACAAUGGGCGCAAGCCUGAUCCAGCCAUGCCGCGUGAGUGAUGACGGCCCUAGGGUUGUAAAGCUCUUUCGGCGGGGAAGAUAAUGACUGUACCCGCAGAAGAAGCCCCGGCUAACUUCGUGCCAGCAGCCGCGGUAAUACGAAGGGGGCUAGCGUUGUUCGGAAUCACUGGGCGUAAAGCGUAUGUAGGCGGAUUGUUAAGUCAGGGGUGAAAUCCCGAGGCUCAACCUCGGAACUGCCUUUGAUACUGGCUUUCUUGAGUUCGGGAGAGGUGAGUGGAACUCCUAGUGUAGAGGUGAAAUUCGUAGAUAUUAGGAAGAACACCAGUGGCGAAGGCGGCUCACUGGCCCGAUACUGACGCUGAUGUACGAAAGCGUGGGGAGCAAACAGGAUUAGAAACCCCUGUAGUCC
rnacentral:rRNA from 1 species